AAGGCAGGAAGCAUUGGCUCUUCCUUUAUAAUAGGAUGUUGGUUCAUGGGAACAAGUACCACAGUAAGUCCUGACCAAAAUGCAGGGAGAACUGAUUCUUUUUAUUAGAUUAUUGUAACAAACCAGGUCCUACUACCAUAGAAGUUUCAGUAACUGUUAAGUAAAACACUCAGUUUUUGUAGAAGUCUUAAGUUCAUCUAAUCUAAUGAAUGGAUUGUUAAUCAAACUUUUGAAGAGGUACCGUUUCAACCUUAAACUUUUAAUGAUUAUUUUAUUAAUUCAUUAACUUCAAAAAUCCAUAUUACCUUUCAAAUAGUUUUAUAAUUAACGCAGGCAAAUGCCCAAGAAAAUACACUAAUCUUAUUCAACAUCUUCAAAUCUUCAAAUGUUGUCCUGAGAUCUAAGAGUAGGACAUUCAAACCAUAGAUCCUAAAAUUAUCAGAUCAGUUCUUUGAUGCUGGAACAUGUUGACCUUAAGAGACAUUGUAGUGAAUUGAGAGUAGGGGGAGAAAAUGUUUGGUGAAAUAUCAAGACUAGACACAUAGGAGCAAAUUACAGAAAGGAAGAAGUAUUAAGGAUGAGGAAGAGCUGAGCCCCAGCCUAUCUUAGGAUGUCAACCAAGAAGAGCUUUGGAACAUGACCUCAUUGCAUCCUGGAGUUGUUAGAGCAACUGGGCAAAGGAUGGUGAGCCCCAGGCAUGAACUCUCACCGACACUCUACCCACACUUCCCGUGAACACCCUGCCUCCACUCGGCUCCGCGCACCAAUCCUCUCAGAACCCCGCGAGAACUCAACGGGAACUCCAAAGGAGCGGGUGCCUGAGGCAGCAGGAUACAACCUAUACCCAGCAGGAUCCACCCUAAACCUGGAGCCGCCCUAUUCCCAGCAGGAUCCACCCUAAACCUGGAGCCACCCUAAUCCCUGAGCAGGUUCACCUUUCAACCCAAAAUGCCAUGCAUCAUUCCUACUUGGCUAUGGCUCUCAGCACGAGGUGCUAAGGAUUAAACCCAGGACUCAUGCAUGCCAGGCAAACAUACUACCACUGAUCCAUAUCCCCAGCCCUAGAAAUGCUAAUUUAAUGGAGAUCUGAAGGAUGAGCAUGCAUUAAGCAAAUGGAGAGAAGGAAACAUUUCAGACAGAAGGGACAACAUAUGCCAAGGCUUUGUGAUGGGAAACUCCACAGUGUAUUCAAGGAAUUAAAAGAAAGUCCAUACAUUGGAAUGAAGAGAGGAAGAAACAAAUCAUUAAGGGACAAGGCUGGGAAGGGAAACAGUCUCAUAUCUUCUGAGAGAAACAGAUCAUCAUGUCACGAACCCCUCUAACUCUCCAAUAAAAACAACAUGAAAUCAACCAAGAUAGAGAAUGUGUCCUUAAUGCCCCACUUGGGACCUCUCUCCAGAGGAACAUUGAUAGAGGCAAGCCUAUUUCAGGUGUAGAUGGACACAACACAAUGCUUUUUUAUGUGGUGCUGAGGAUUGAACCCGGGUCCCGCCCCUGCUAGUCACACCAUUCUUCUCUACCCUUUGGCCGACUUGAACAAUUGCCUGAAUGGACAGCCAUUUGAAAUUUCCUGCCAAUGGAAGGCCACUGCCCUUAUCUCCACUUCUGAAAAACACUGAACUGAGAAUUGGAAUGAACCAAGGAGAAGAGAUGAGUGUGUCCAUGAACAAACGGGAAGGAUAGACAGGGUGAUCAUUGGGUGAUCAUAUCUGAGGCAUAUAUGAGGCAACAUAUGAGUUUGGUUCAAUUUGUCAGUGUUUCGUAGGUUCUUUAUAGUAGUCACCUACAAAAAUGAGGACUCUACAGAUCAUCAUCACUUGAAAGUCCUGGUUUUUGUUUUUCAUUUUGUUUUAAUUGAGGGAAAAGGAACUUAAAUUAGGUUUUAGCAAUAUUUUGCCAGUAGUAAAUCUCCAUAAUGUUUUAUAAAAUCAUAUUUUAAAUCCAGCAGAUGUCAGCUAUGAUAUGGAGGUUUUGUCAGAAAGAAAAUCUUUGGCCAUAGAACAGCCUCUAGAAUAGACCUCCUAAAGGUUUUGUAAAUGGAGAUGCAUAAUGCUGAAAGCACUUAAAGUGGCCCCAGAGUGAGGUGUUUCUGCCAUGGAAACCAUCCACUCAGCAACUUGACCAUUAGAAAAUGUUUCCACUGCAUAGAGAGAAUCAUUUGCCAAGCCAAAGACACCAAUGCUGAGUUAUAAAUGUCUACAGUUAUACAAAAACCACUUUAUAAAAUAGCAGCUGGAAUUUGUUCCCACUAACACUGAAUAUCAAAAGACAACACUAACAGUCCAUUUCCAGAAAUCAUAAUCAUUUCCUCAGUUAAAAACACCUAUUCAGAGUCUUCACUUGCUAAUGGGCAAUUUCACCUGGCUUCACUUUUAUGAAACUCCUUGAUGGUCCAAUGGUACAUACAACCUGCCAAUCCCUGUGGAUCGGCCAGUUCUAUUAUUAGAUUUGUUUAGAAGACUAAGCAGUCCAGAUAGGGGCAGGAAUUUAUUCUAAACUGUCUUUCAAUGUAUAUUUUAGUCAAAAAAUUGCUUUCUCUGGGGAAUAAAGUGGAUUGGAAAAUAAGACAGUUUUAAACUGCUUAGGUGAAUACAUUUUUUUCCUAAGGGUGAGCUAUUACUCUGUCUUCUGUGGUGAGAUUGUGAGGUGCACCAGCUGAGAAAAUAUACUGGUAACUGACUUGUUUGAGGACAUUAUUUUGCCUGGGCUGCUGCCACCGCAAAGUAACACAAACUUGGUGGUUUACAGAACAGAAAUUUACUGCCUCUCAGUUCUGGGGGGUAUAAGUCUAAGAUUAAGAAGUCAGCAGAGUUGGGUUUCUGUUGGGUUCUUCUGAGAGCUAUUAAGAAGAAUCUAUUCCAUGCUUGUCUGUUAGCUGCUGGUGGUUUGCUGGCCACCUUGGGGAUUCCUUGGCUGCUACUGCACCCCAGUCUUUGCCUUCAUCUUCACUGGUGGCCUCCUGGGUGUACCUGUGUCUAAAUCUACCAUUUUUAUAAGGAUACCAGUAAUACUGAAUUAGAAGCCCAUCCUGCUCCAGCAUAACUUAAUCUUAACUAAUUACAUCUGCCACAUUGCUAUUUCUUAAUUAGCCCACAUCUGAGCUACAUCAGAAUAGUACAUCAACAUGUGAAUUUUGUGAGGACACAAGCCAGCUUGUACUAGGACCAAAUCCAUGUUUGCUAUCAAUUGGACUAAAUCCAGACUAUAAGAAAAAAAGUUGUAGUUUAUGUUUCGCUCUUAUUUUUCCUUUUUAUACAAUGCAUAUGCCAUUCUAUCCUUGAAAGGAAGGAUACCUACUUACAAAUGACAGCUAUGGAAACUUUGUUCAACUUUAGACAUUGUAAUGAGAUUUUAAUACAGACUAAUUUCCAAGAGUCAGAAAUGAAUCAAGAAAUAUUGAUAGACUUUAUUUUAAGAGUUAAAAUAGAAGAAUGAGAGCAUUUAUGGUAGGUUAACAUUUCUUAAAAUAGAAAUACCUUGGUUCAGGAGAGGUGUUUAUGAUACAACAGCUGAAGAGAUCUUCUCCCCAAUUACCUUAUAACCCUUGCUAUUGUUGUUUUCCUCCUUGAAUUGCUUUGAUUCCUCUGCCCAUUUGUGUUUCUCCUCCUGCCUUAUUCUUACUUUCUGUGAUCCUCAGAGAUCAUACUUCUCAUUUCAACCACUAUCAACUUUUCUCCAACUUACACUCUAAACCAGUUCACUUUUCAUGCUCUCUCCAGGGCAGUUGAUUCUAAGUUGUUAUCUCUAGCCUUGAUUUCUCUACCUAGGUACAAACUCAUUUUUUUUCAUUGUUUGUCCGUGAAACUAAAACUGAAUGUCUAUCAUCCUCCUUGUGCCAUCUUCUCUCUAUCUCACUGUUUCUGUUAAUUUAUUCUUGUGCUCUCUUAGGCUUGGAACCUGAGGUCAUCACGUGUCUUUUCCCUGGUUCUCUUAAUCUAGUCUUUCUAGAAAUCCCAUUAUCUCUAUUUCUGAUAAGUAAAUUGUAUUUCUCUGAUUUCUCCUCAUCUCAGGCUUCAUUAGUUUUCACCUGGAUGGCUUCAAUCAUUCCCUGUUACCCUAGCUUCUCUCUGCUCCAUUCCAAAGUAUAUCCUGUUUUCAUCCAUUUUAACUUUCUAAAUGUUCUACUGAAAAAUCAUUGGUUCCCUCAUUCUCUAUAAAGGUAAGCUAAGACAUAUAUAUUAAACUGGUGUUUGGGAGCUCUGUAUUAUGGUGCUCUCUAGCUUUCCUUUUCUCUGCCCAUGCUCUACAGGUAUCCUUUCUUUGACCAAAGUAGAAUGCUUUAUUUUUUUCCUGUUUCUUGCUUUUCUUUUUACUUUCUGUGAUCUUGAGAGAUCAUACUUCUCUUUUCAACCACUAUCGGCUUUUCUCCAACUUACACUCCAAACCAGUUCAUUUUUCAUUCUCUCUCCAAGGCAGUUGAUUCUAAGUUGUUAUCUUUAGCCUUGAUUUCUCUACUGAGAUACAAACUCAUUUUUUAAAAAUUGUUUGUCCCUGAAACUUUUCCUAAGAGUUUAUGACAGAAAUGAUUUUUUUCAAACUGUGCUUUCUUUAAGGGUGAAGACUUAUUUAUCCCAUACUCUCCAUGAAGUCACUUUCUGACAACAGGAUCUGUGCUGUUUAGCCUUUUACUUGCUCCUUUUUAUUUCACUUAACACAAGCCUUAAUAGGAUGAUGGUUCAUAGGGUCUGCUCAACAAAUGUCCCCACUGGCUUUCCUAGCAAGGUUGUUUUAGAUUUAUUGGCAUGCUUGUCUUGGCUACCACAUUUCACACUCCUAAAAAAUGAAAAUUCUACUUUAUUCGUCACUGUAGACUCUGCCAAGGGUUUGUUCUUGGCCUGGAUUAGUCAAUGAAACAAAUAUUAUUAAUUUAAAAAUUUUAUUGGCAAACCAAUUUAACAUACCAAGAAAUUAUGCUAUCUAUCCUGCUGUGAUAUAUGAGAUUGUGAUGUGCACCAGCUGAGGAAACACAUUGGAACCACAAGCUUCUCAGAUAAUUUAUGAGUAGUAGGUUGGAAAUAUUAGUUGAUAUUAAAUACCUAUGUUGUUAACUUAACAUGGAUCACUCUAUUACAUAACCUUAACCUUGAAAUAUCAUAACAACUCUUAUAAAAGUUGCAUGGGCUGGAUAUUUGGAAAGGGAUGGGAAAUAGCAGAAGGAAAUGUCACACACCCAUGAGCUCUGUCGAAACUGAAGAGGAAUAAAUAGUCCCAAAUCUUAAUCUCAAGAAUGUCCUCAUAGACAAGAUUUAUAUACACAGUUGUUUCUAAUGCUCUUUAACACAAGAUUUUUUACAAGAGACAAAGGCUUCGUUUUGCCUCCUAAUUACUUAAAUUGUAUAGUCAAUAGUUGGUCCUCUUAGAUUUCCUCAUAAGAUAAUAUCUUGGAGGUUGAGCUCACCCACGGAGGAAUGGAAGACUGUUUUCUCUAACAUAUUAACAUAUCUUGGAUCUUCUCUCCACUUGUGUGAGAUGUGUAUUCAGUGAUAAUCACACUUCACUUUCGUUGUUUCGUUUGUUUGUUUGUUUUGGUACUGAGAAUGGAACCCAGGGAUACUCUAUGACUAGGCUAUAAAGCCCCAUCCCUCUUUUUUUUUGGGGGGGGGGAGGGGGCACAGGGUCUCCCUAAGUUCUUGAGGGCUUUGCUAAGUUGCUGAGGCUGGACUCAAAUUUGUAAUUCUCCUGCCUCAGACUCCUGAGUUGCUAGGUUACAGUUGUGCACACAACUCAUGCUGCAAUUUCAAUAAAUGCAAACAACUUGAAACUUUAACAGUGUUUUCAGAAUAUCCUACUUGAAACAAGUACAGUUUUAAAAUAUUUUUAUUUGUUUGUUUGUUGUCUUUUGCCUUGCAACUGCUAGAAGAGAACAUAGGGUCAACACUCCAUCACAUAGGUAUAGGUACAAACUUCCUCAACAAGACCUCUAAAGUUCAAGAAAUAAAACCAAGAAUCAAUAAGUGGGAUGCCAUCAAGUUAAAAAAAAAACUUUUGCACAUCAAAGGAAACUAUUAAAAGCAUGAAGAAAGAGCCUACAGAAUGGGAAAAAAUCUUUGCCAGUUGCUUUUCUGUUAAGAGAUUAAUAUCCAGAAUAUAUAAAGAACUCAAAAAAACUCAAUGCCAGAAAAAAUAACCAAUCAAUAAAUUGGCAAAAGAACUAAAUAGACAUUUCUUGAAAGAAGAAACACAAAUGGCUCACAAAUACAUGAAAAAAUGUUCAAUAUCUCUAGCAAUCAGAGAAAUGCAAACCAAAACUACACUCAGAUUUCACCUCUCUCUAGUCAGAAUGGCAAUGAUCAAGAACACAAUAAUAAAUACUGGCAAGGAUGUUAGGGGACAGGCACACUGGUACAUUGUUGGUGGGACUGCAAAUUAAUACAACCACUCUAGAAAGCAGUAUGGAGAUUCCUCAAGAAACUAGGAAUGGAACCAGCUAUCCUACUCUGGUAUUUAUCCAAAAGAAUUAAAAUCAACAUACUGUAGUAAUACAGCUGCUAUAAUGUUUAUAUCAACACAAUUCACAAUAGCCAAAUUAUGUAAUCAUCAGAGGUGUCCACCAAUAGAUGAACGAAUCAAGAAGAUGAGAUACACACACACACACACUCACAGCGGAGUUUUACUCAGCCAUAAAGAAUGAAAUAAUGACAUUUGCUGUUAAAUGGAUGGAAAUGAAGAACAUCAUACUAAGUGAAAUAAACCAGACUCAGAAAAUCAAGGGUCAAAUGUUUUCUUUUCAUAUGUGGAAGCUAAAGCAAAAUAAGGAAAAUGAAAUUUCAUCUUAUGUGUAUACAGAAAGUACCAACCAAAAUAAAUAAAUAAAUAAAAGAAUGCUAGGGAGAUCAAUAG